rnacentral:lncRNA from 1 species
UAUUUGUUUAUGAUUCAAUCAAUAAGUCAGUGGAACAUGGAGGAUCCGAGAGUAAGUCUUAAUACCAAAUUUAAAGGAAACCGAGGACAACCCUGUGAAAGGCUAUGGAAUUCAGCAGAGGAGAGGUGGUCAGGGAAGGAGGCAAACCUAAAAAGCAAAAUGAGAAAUGUGGCUUAAUUCAAGUCCUAGAGAGGGAAAUCUCAAGGGAUUCUAGAGUAAUAGUGUUUAUAACAUGCUUUCAUAUCCCCAAGAGGAAGAAGUAUGCUACUUCGUCAGUUGUAAAAGGCUUGAUAAUAUAUUGGCUUUAAGGAUGACACAAAUUAAUGCAAAAAACAUGUGAACAAGUGGAGCUUAUAAACUUACGAGGCUGCACCAGCCCAUUACUUUGAGUCCUAACCAUAUGACUAAGUUUUUAGUUGCUUAAGCAAAUAAAUGUUAUCAAACACCCUUUGAAGAACAAGUUAAUUUGAAAUUGAAGUUUUUUCUUAAAUUGACCAUUUGAGAUAUUGCUGCUGAGGUUUAAAUAUUCAGCUUUGACUUAAAGUAGAACAGUUAUGCCAGAUAGACGAGAGGCCAUUUGACCCUUUUAUCUCUGCCCAAGUAUUCUAAACAACACAAGCUAUUGACACAGAUUGGCUAUGUUUUUAGUUACCACAGUAUAUAAGCUGCACAAUCCAUUUCUGACUUUGGUCUCUUAUUAAAUAUGGGGUGGAAGUGGGUAGGCUGUCAAGGAGAACCAACAGUUUCAUAUAAAUCCUUCAAUUCCAGGGAAUUGUUUGAAAUCAGGCAGAAAAUACAAGUGUCAUUUGUGAACCUUUUAUACUUCAAUUGACAAAAAUAAUCGUGUACUUAAUUUGGAGACAGAGUUCUGCCUUCCAUGACACCUUUAUUGUGGUUCUCUUCCUCUCCUCAUUGAAUGGUAGCCAUGAAAUCAAUCAUUGCAAACGUAAGGACUGUCUCUUAGAUUCAAAUAAGGGGAACCAGCCUUGAGAUGGAGCCUUCGCUAUACAUAUUAGAGUCUAGUGAGACAGAAAAACUGAAUUAUCAAGCCCCUGGAUCAAAUUCCCCUGAAACUCAUAUAUCCUGAGAUUUUUCCAGUAUACGAACCAAAAAUGUUUAAAUUGGAUUUUCUAUUACUUACAACCAAUGACUUCAUAAAUAAUACAUGUCUAUCAGCAAAUAAAAAUGUAUUUGCAUUUCCAAAACUAUAUUUGACUUCCUACAUUCCAUGACAGCGGGCUCAGCACACAACUCCCUGUAUUGGCACAUAUAAUAAAGGGAGAUAGGCUUACUUAAGCAAAAUGAUUUUUAUUCACAUCAGAAGUAGAGUUUGAGUCCUGAAUUUGCACUUUGUUUGUAUGUGAGCACUGAAUUUGAGCUAUAGAGUUCCAGUCAUUAUGGCUGCCUCCAUGAGUAGUAAUUAAGCAGUUACUGCUCAGAAAGUCAUGCAGAAUCAGAAUGAGAUCUGGCACCCACCUGACAGGUCCAACAUCAAUGAGGCAACCAGACAGGCAAAACACCUUAAUAUCCAUUAGCCAAUGAAUAGGUCAGUAGAAAUUAAGGGUGAGUGCCCAUACUUCUACAGGGUUAACUUCAAAAGGUCAGUUUUCUAGCUUGCUUUGUCAACAAGAAAGGGCAGAUGGGUUUGCUUAAGGAAGUUCGGAAUGAAGUUUAUUAGUGAACUUACCCACCGUUUUCUUCCUGUCCAUUUUGUUUGGUCUUCCAUAAUUGGUAAGCAGCAUUUAUUAAUACAUGUUCCUGACAUAAAGCUAUGAAGUAGGUUUUCCUCUUCUAGUAAGAAAUUCGGUCAAAACCACCCAGGUGCCCACAUCUCAAUUAAAAACAAAUAAAAAGACGGGAAACAAUUGGGUAGUUCUACUAGUUUUUAAUAUUCUGUUUUUUCACAGCCCAGAAUGUUCUAAUUGGGAAUGACAAGAUUGCAGAUCACAGGCAGAGCUGGGAGGUGUUCAGCCAAAUUUAAUGAUACCUGAAAAAUCCACCAUUCUUCCAAUGGGCUUGGUUUACUGGAAAUAACACCUGCUGUAAAUAACUUA